rnacentral:tRNA from 2 species
AAGUGAGAAGCAACAUUUUGCAAUCAGUUUCGACCUGAUCAUAGAUAGCAAUUAACCUAUCCUCACUAU